rnacentral:rRNA from 1 species
UACAGAGGUCCCAAGCGUUGUUCGGAUUCACUGGGCGUAAAGGGUGCGUAGGCGGUCGGGUAAGUCUGAUGUGAAAUCUCACAGCUUAACUGUGGAACUGCAUUGGAUACUAUCCGGCUAGAGGAAUGGAGGGGAGACUGGAAUACUUGGUGUAGCAGUGAAAUGCGUAGAUAUCAAGUGGAACACCAGUGGCGAAGGCGAGUCUCUGGACAUUUCCUGACGCUGAGGCACGAAAGCCAGGGGAGCAAACGGG